AGAAUCAACGCUGGCGGCGUGCCUAACACAUGCAAGUCGAACGAGAAAGUGGAGCAAUCCAUGAGUAAAGUGGCGACCGGGUGAGUAACACGUGACUAACCUACCUUCAAGUGGGGGAUAACCUCGGGAAACCGGGGCUAAUACCGCAUAACAUCUUUGGAGUGGAAAUUCUGGAGAUCAAAGGAGCAAUUCGCUGGAAGAGGGGGUCGCGGCUGAUUAGCUAGUUGGCGGGGUAAUGGCCCACCAAGGCUUUGAUCGGUAGCCGGCCUGAGAGGGCGCACGGCCACACUGGAACUGAAACACGGUCCAGACUCCUACGGGAGGCAGCAGUGGGGAAUUUUGCGCAAUGGGGGAAACCCUGACGCAGCAACGCCGCGUGGAGGAUGAAGUCCCUUGGGACGUAAACUCCUUUCGACCGGGAAGAUGAUGACGGUACCGGUGGAAGAGCCCGGCUAACUUCGUGCCAGCAGCCGC
rnacentral:rRNA from 1 species